UAACAUUAAAGUUUGUCCCAUUCUGUUCCAUAAGACCAAUGUAAAAUUAAGGCAUUUUGGUUAUGCUAUGAGAAAAUUUGGUGUAUUGAGAAUAUCCCCUUAAUUCCAUUUCAGAUUUCGGCCAUAAUUGAUUUUUAUGUUGUAAAUUUGUUUUAAACAUUUCAUAUUUCGUGUAUUUUGCUACAAUGGCUGGUGUAAUGGGUGAAAUUAUUCACUCCACAAAUGAUUUAGUGAUCAUUCAAUGUGAAGAUUGUCCAUAAUAUCCAUGUGAAGCGGCCUAAAAUCGACGUCUUUCUGCGAAAGUAUGCAGAACACGAAGCUGCAGUCAGAUACGCAUACAAACGAUUUAAAACCGUGGCGUCGAUCGAGUCAGCCAUCCAGAGGAGGAUGCUGGGGCGAAGGGAG